GGAAGCAAAGGCUUGAGAUAUGCACUGGAGCAGCUCGUGGACUGCACUAUCUUCAUGCUGGUGCGUCGAAUACUAUAAUCCAUCGAGACAUAAAGACGACCAAUAUUUUGUUAGACGAAAAUUGGGUCGCCAAAGUCUCCGAUUUUGGAUUGUCAAAAAUAGGUGUAAAUGACAGUGCAGUUAGCACCAUUGUAAAGGGUACAUGGGGAUAUCUGGAUCCAGAAUAUGCAAGACGCCAUCAGUUGACAGAAAAAUCUGAUGUGUACUCAUUUGGUGUGGUGUUAUUGGAAGUAUUGUGCGCUCGAAAACCUCUUAACCAAAAAUUGGAGGAGGAACAAUGGAAUUUAGUCAGUUGGGCACGAAAAUGCAUCCAAAAUGAGAAUAUUCAUCUAAUAAUUGAUCCCCAUCUAAUAGGAAAAAUAGCUCCAGUGUGUUUUCAGAAAUUUGUGGAGAUUGCAGAGAGCUGCGUCCGUGAGCAGGGGAUUGAACGGCCCUCAAUGCAUGAUGUGAUGGAAAAGCUUGAGUUCGCAUUGGAGUUGCAACAGACAGCAGAUGCUGAGAAGGAAAAAAUGAAUCCGGGUGAAGACUAUGUGUAUCCUCAAGUAUCAUUCCAUGCUUCUCGAUAUACCAAUAUAGUUGGUGGAUUCCAGUUGGAUUCAAGUAAUAUUUCAAUAGAUUUGGAUACGGAUACUACUGGACAGACUUUUCCUAGUGUUGUAUCCAGUAGCAUAACGUCUAGUCAUGGCUUCUCCGGCACCAUCAACUCUUCCAGGAAAUAGCUUGGAAAAGGUGACAAGAGAAAAUAAAAAUGGUUUUGCGUUUUGACUGUAAAAGUGUGCUGCUUGUUAAUUUUGUCAAUUUUAUUGAUUAUGGAGUCCUUGUUUGUGCCCAAAGUCCUGUGGAAAAUUGUGUCAAGUGUCGUUUCUAAUCAUUACCUUACACCAUCAACGGGGAAGCCUAAUGGUUGUAUUUUAGUUUCCCUGC
rnacentral:misc_RNA from 1 species